GUGUGGCAAAUCUUAAGCAAAUAAUUCAAUUCUGUCACCAAGAGAGUUUAGUAUUACUUGGAGAUGAAGUUUAUCAGCAAAACAUUUACCAAGAUGAACGCCCUUUCAUAAGUGCAAGAAAGGUACAUAUGCUAAAUUUCUGCUUAACUAAUUUAUUAACCUACCAGUAUCUUCAGAUAUACCAAGAUGAGCGCCCUUUCGUAAGUGCAAGAAAGGUACAUGUGUUAAAUUUCUGCUUAACAAAUUUAUUAAUCUACCAGUAUCUUCAGAUCCUACGAUACUCAUUUCAAAUGUUAUUCACCAAAAUGAAGGUUUUGUUGGAUAUGGGCCCACCAAUAAGCAAGGAGCUUCAGCUUGUUUCAUUUCACACUGUCUCCAAAGGAUAUUGGGGUGAAUGUGGACAGCGUGGAGGAUACUUUGAGAUGACCAACAUUUCCCCAAAGGUUUGUCUUUCGCUUCCAAUUCGAACCGUUGGGAUAGGAAUAUAAUAGAUAAUUCUUGCUUUUAGCCAAG
rnacentral:lncRNA from 1 species